GACGAACGCUGGCGGCGUGCUUAACACAUGCAAGUCGAACGGAAAGGCCCUGCUUUUGUGGGGUGCUCGAGUGGCGAACGGGUGAGUAACACGUGAGUAACCUGCCCUUGACUUUGGGAUAACUUCAGGAAACAGGGGCUAAUAUCGGAUAUGAGCUCCUGCUGCAUGGUGGUGGAUGGAAAGUUUCGGCGUUUGGGGAUGGACUCGCGGCUUAUCAGCUUGUUGGUGGGGUAGUGGCUUACCAAGGCUUUGACGGGUAGCCGGCCUGAGAGGGUGACCGGCCACAAUGGGACUGAGGUACGGCCCAGACUCCUACGGGAGGCAGCAGGGGAGAAUAUUGCACAAUGGGCGGAAGCCUGAGGCAGCAACGCCGCGUGCGUGAUGACGGCCUUCGGGUUGUGAACCGCUUUCGCCUGUGACGAGGCGUGCGUGACGGUAAUGGGUAAAGAAGCACCGGCUAACUACGUG
rnacentral:rRNA from 1 species